CCUACGGGAGGCUGCAGUGAGGAAUAUUGGUCAAUGGACGAGAGUCUGAACCAGCCAAGUAGCGUGAAGGAAGACGGCCCUAUGGGUUGUAAACUUCUUUUAUAUGGGAAUAAAACAGGGUAUGCAUACCCUCUUGUAUGUACCAUAUGAAUAAGGAUCGGCUAACUCCGUGCCAGCAGCCGCGGUAAUACGGAGGAUCCGAGCGUUAUCCGGAUUCAUUGGGUGUAAAGGGAGCGUAGGUGGAGUCGUAAGUCAGUUGUGAAAGUUUGCGGCUCAACCGCAAAAUUGCAGUUGAAACUGGGAGGCUUGAGUGCAGUAGAGGUAGGCGGAAUUCGUGGUGUAGCGGUGAAAUGCGUAGAUAUCAGGAAGAACUCCGAUGGCGAAGGCAGCCUGCUGGACUGCAACUGACACUGAGGCUCGAAAGUGUGGGUAUCAAACAGGAUUAGAUACCCGGGUAGUC
rnacentral:rRNA from 1 species